rnacentral:rRNA from 1 species
AAAGGGGGUAUUGCCUUAGUACCGGCGAGUGAAGCGGCAAAAGCUCAAAUUUGAAAUCUGGCACCUUCGGUGUCCGAGUUGUAAUUUGAAGAAGGUAACUUUGGAGUUGGCUCUUGUCUAUGUUCCUUGGAACAGGACGUCACAGAGGGUGAGAAUCCCGUGCGAUGAGAUGCCCAAUUCUAUGUAAAGUGCUUUCGAAGAGUCGAGUUGUUUGGGAAUGCAGCUCUAAGUGGGUGGUAAAUUCCAUCUAAAGCUAAAUAUUGGCGAGAGACCGAUAGCGAACAAGUACAGUGAUGGAAAGAUGAAAAGAACUUUGAAAAGAGAGUGAAAAAGUACGUGAAAUUGUUGAAAGGGAAGGGCUUGAGAUCAGACUUGGUAUUUUGCGAUCCUUUCCUUCUUGGUUGGGUUCCUCGCAGCUUACUGGGCCAGCAUCGGUUUGGAUGGUAGGAUAAUGACUAAGGAAUGUGGCUCUACUUCGGUGGAGUGUUAUAGCCUUGGUUGAUACUGCCUGUCUAGACCGAGGACUGCGUCUUUUGACUAGGAUGUUGGCAUAAUGAUCUUAAGCCACCCGUCUUAACAACCGGGACCAAAACAAAGAUUAAUUCCAAUGGGAGGGUGGGUUGGAAGGGCCUUUGGAGGGUGCCCUCUUGGGAUCUCUGCAACUAGAAACCGACCUAACCCAUUGACUAGAAGU